rnacentral:rRNA from 1 species
UGGGGAAUAUUGGACAAUGGGCGCAAGCCUGAUCCAGCAAUGCCGCGUGUGUGAAGAAGGCCUGCGGGUUGUAAAGCACUUUCAGUGGGGAGGAAGGCCUUGAUGUUAAUAGCAUUGAGGAUUGACGUUACCCAAAUAAGAAGCACCGGCUAACUCUGUGCCAGCAGCCGCGGUAAUACAGAGGGUGCAAGCGUUAAUCGGAAUUACUGGGCGUAAAGGGUGCGUAGGUGGUUUUUUAAGUCAGAUGUGAAAACCCUGGGCUUAACCUAGGAAUUGCAUAUGAAACUGAGAAACUAGAGUGCGGUAGAGGGAAGUGGAAUUUCCGGUGUAGCGGUGAAAUGCGUAGAUAUCGGAAGGAACACCAGUGGCGAAGGCGACUUCCUGGACCGUUACUGACACUGAGGCACGAAAGCGUGGGGAGCAAACAGGAUUAGAUACCCCUGUAGUCC